GGCACGGUGGCGUAGUGGUUUGCACUGCCACCUCACAGCAAGAAGGUCGUGGGUUCGAAUCCGGCCUGGGGCC